rnacentral:lncRNA from 1 species
AGCUACAGAUAAAUAUAUUCUAAGAACAUAACAGUUAUAAAAUUCUAAAAUAGAACAACCGACAAUUUAAAACCAUUUACGUAGAGACAUUCAUACGUCGGCAAGACAAAUACGACUUAUAAAGAAACUAAGAGCAGGGGAACGUACCUAUAAUGCUUAAACACGAUCAGCUAAGCACUAUGACAUAUAGCACAACAAUGUUUCUUGGCCUAUACACCGUAUACAGGAUAAAUCACGCAUGAUAUGUAUGACACGACAAUUGGCAUCAUAGAGCAGAGGGAUAGAACACACAACCUACAUUUUGUGUUGAACACACCAUUUCCAUGCUGCUGGUUGGUUAUUGUUAAUUACAUUAUGGGAGGAUCAUUUCCUUUCAAUUUCUAUAGCCUCGAAUAUAGCAAUACCGAAGCUACCCCAGAGAGAUUUGGUUAUUUUAGCUUUGUCCCAAUUAAUACGUAUAUCUUGUUCAUACAUUUUCCUAGCUAAGGCACCUUACGUUCUGCGAUCCUUACACAAAAAUUUAUUUUCGUACUGCCUAUAAAUAUAUAUGUUUGAGUACAAUUAUCAUCCCUAUUAUAGAUAGAUAGAUUGGUAUUUAUA